AUUGAACUCGAGAAUUCUCGUAAAUGGAAUUCAAUCCUAGUGUGCAGCCACUACGCCAAGAGUGUUAUACUUUCCAAGUGUUAUAAUUAAAUCAAUAUAAACAACAUAUUUAUAUUUAAUUAAAAACAGAAAAAGAAUUUGUUUCCAAAAGAAAUCGAAUGCGCGUUUAAUGUGCGAUACGAGUUGUGUAAGAGUAGAGGGCUAGCUUCUAGGCUACGGUGUAUAUUUGUUUUGUAAAGAAAUGUGAACUUCUUUAUUCACAUAUCUUAUCUAAGAUACCAUUGGUGAUAUUCAGGAUGGGUUUCCAAAAAUCGAAUAUGAAAAUGAGAUUACCAAGAUACAAGACCACUAAGCCAAUGUAUGAUAUCUCAAAAUGAGUAAGCUUUUAAAAUCAAUAUAAGCAAUUCUCUUGCUGAUUGAUACAAAAAUUAAAAAAUGUUCUGAUUCAUUAAGGAAAAAGUGACCAUAAAAUAUGAUGUGGGUUUCAUAAUACAUAAAUAUUAGUAUUAAAACAUAAGAGGGAAGUUGAUAACAUCAGAUUAAUCAUCCAUCCAACUUUUCAAGCUUUGGCCAGUCAAUUACUUUAACCUUGACAUUAGCCAAGUUCAUUCGGCUUCAAUGCGCUAUGCUGCUAGUUUUUCCAACUCAGUAACAAGGUCAAAGUUUUCAGCUUUGAUAAUGACAUCAAGCAAAUCAAUUUGCGAAGAAAUAUAUUUUACUUUGCUUGAAGCGUCAUUCCAUUCAGAUUCAGAUUGCGUUUGUUCCUUGACCAAGCGGAGAAUCGACUUGUAAUGCUCCUCGGUUUCCUUUUUCUCUUUAUUAACCAUAACUUUUAUAUUAUAAACGUUGGAAAGAACUUUGGAAUUUCUGGAUGGGUUUCUAAAAUAGUAGAAUAUAAGUAUGUUUCUUUCUAACAAAGAAGUUUAACUUAAAAAAAUGAAAUGAGAUCAACAACUAAGGAUUGAUAUCUUCAUAUUUGGAAAAUUUCAAAUUGUG
rnacentral:lncRNA from 1 species